AUGUUUGCUGGUCUCACGCGCCUGUGGCUGCGCAAUAUGAGGUUUGGUGAACUGGACAUCCCCAACAUCCUCAGCGCCUGUAAGAGGUUGGAAUCACUGCGUCUCUCCUAUUGUGACGCAGGGGUCCAAUCUGUGCUUCAAGUAGAACAUGCUCAACUUGUUGAGCUCCACAUCGACUAUGGGGAAUUUGAAGCAGUCCAACUCAGCUGUCUACCAAAACUCCAACGUGUCAAAUAUGUUGGUUGGUCUUACCAAGAAGAUCCCCUGAUUUUUGUUUCUGUCCCGCAGCUUUCAAAGCUAACACUCGAAAAAGAUGGUGUUAGCUCAACUAGUAAUCUCCAGUUAAGUCAGCUCCUUGCUAAUGUACCCUGGAUAAGCGACCUCCAUCUGGAUUUUAGAAGUGAAAAGAUUUGGGUUCUACCUGAAUGCCCCAGACUGCUUGUGCAUGUGCUUGGCAAGCUACAGAUUGUGAAUCUGGACAAUCUUCCGCAAGGAUGUGAUAUCGCUUGGACCAUGUUCAUUCUUGAAGCGGCAAGCUCCCUAAAGGAGCUAUGCGUCACGGUGUGGGAUCAUUUGUGCAAAAUGGAGACAGACGAGGAUGUCCGUAAGGAACUUGGUUACUGUGAGAAAGCAAAUGUGGAGUACCAACCAUCUAUAGUUCAUUUUAAGCACAAGAAUCUGAUUAAGCUCACCGUUUACGGCUUCCAACCUGAGGACAACUUUGUGCGAUACGUUAGGCGUGUCAUGGAGAUUGCAGUGAACCUGAAGGAGAUAUCUCUGUAUGACUGGCAGGUCUGUAAGCGCUGCAGGGACUUGGAUCCCAGUAUCAAGGUCUGUCCUUCUCGGUAUCCACGGACCAGUGAGCAGAAGGAUAUGUUGAGGGUGGAGAUUACUAAGGAGUUGGUCAUGGCUUCGCCUGCUGUGAUUCACUUCAGGUCCUAA
rnacentral:rRNA from 1 species